GACGAACGCUGGCGGCGUGCUUAACACAUGCAAGUCGAACGGAAAGGCCCUGCUUUUGUGGGGUGCUCGAGUGGCGAACGGGUGAGUAACACGUGAGUAACCUGCCCUUGACUUUGGGAUAACUUCAGGAAACUGGGGCUAAUACCGGAUAGGAGCUCCUGCUGCAUGGUGGGGGUUGGAAAGUUUCGGCGGUUGGGGAUGGACUCGCGGCUUAUCAGCUUGUUGGUGGGGUAGUGGCUUACGAAGGCUUUGACGGGUAGCCGGCCUGAGAGGGUGACCGGCCACAUUGGGACUGCGGUACGGCCCAGUCUCCUACGGGCGGCAGCAGUGGGGAAUAUUGCACAAUGGGCGGAAGCCUGUUGCAGCAACGCCGCGUGCGGGAUGACGGCCUUCGGGUUGUAAACCGCUUUCACCUGUGACGAAGCUUGUGUGACGGUAAUGGGUAAAUAAGCACCGGCUAACUACGUG
rnacentral:rRNA from 1 species